rnacentral:rRNA from 1 species
UUAGAGUUUGAUCCUGGCUCAGGAUGAACGCCAGCUACAGGCUUAACACAUGCAAGUCGAGGGGCAGCAUGAACUUAGCUUGCUAAGUUUGAUGGCGACCGGCGCACGGGUGAGUAACACGUAUCCAACCUUCCGUUUACUCAGGGAUAGCCUUUCGAAAGAAAGAUUAAUACCUGAUAGUAUGGUGAGAUUGCAUGAUAACACCAUUAAAGAUUUAUUGGUAAACGAUGGGGAUGCGUUCCAUUAGGUAGUAGGCGGGGUAACGGCCCACCUAGCCUGCGAUGGAUAGGGGUUCUGAGAGGAAGGUCCCCCACAUUGGAACUGAGACACGGUCCAAACUCCUACGGGAGGCAGCAGUGAGGAAUAUUGGUCAAUGGGCGAGAGCCUGAACCAGCCAAGUAGCGUGAAGGAUGAAGGUCCUACGGAUUGUAAACUUCUUUUAUACGGGAAUAAAGUUUCCUACGUGUAGGAUUUUGUAUGUACCGUAUGAAUAAGCAUCGGCUAACUCCGUGCCAGCAGCCGCGGUAAUACGGAGGAUGCGAGCGUUAUCCGGAUUUAUUGGGUUUAAAGGGAGCGCAGACGGGAGAUUAAGUCAGUUGUGAAAGUUUGCGGCUCAACCGUAAAAUUGCAGUUGAUACUGGUUUCCUUGAGUGCAGUUGAGGCAGGCGGAAUUCGUGGUGUAGCGGUGAAAUGCUUAGAUAUCACGAAGAACCCCGAUUGCGAAGGCAGCUUGCUAAACUGUAACUGACGUUCAUGCUCGAAAGUGUGGGUAUCAAACAGGAUUAGAUACCCUGGUAGUCCACACGGUAAACGAUGGAUACUCGCUGUUGGCGAUAUACUGUCAGCGGCCAAGCGAAAGCAUUAAGUAUCCCACCUGGGGAGUACGCCGGCAACGGUGAA